UACGGGGGGGGCAAGCGUUGUUCGGAAUUACUGGGCGUAAAGGGCUCGUAGGUGGCCAACUAAGUCAUACGUGAAAUCCCUCGGCUUAACCGGGGAACUGCGUCUGAUACUGGAUGGCUUGAGGUUGGGAGAGGGAUGCGGAAUUCCAGGUGUAGCGGUGAAAUGCGUAGAUAUCUGGAGGAACACCGGUGGCGAAGGCGGCAUCCUGGACCAAUUCUGACACUGAGGAGCAAAAGCCAGGGGAGCAAACGGG
rnacentral:rRNA from 1 species